AGACCAUAAUUGUUUUAUUCUAGUGUUGGUUUUGCGGAUUUCGUUAUUCACACGCAUUAUACAUGAGGUCGUGUCUGAGGUAUCGUCACAACAACAGUGUUUUGCAUCAUAUUUACGUUUAAAAAAUCCCUGAAAACUGUUAUGCACUUUCCGGCUUUGCUAUGAGCUACGUCGUUGGCACCCGUCACACAAACAACGAUGUCACUGUUCUUCAGUGUAUUCCCGUGUUCUGAGACACGAGUUUUUAUCGGGACAUUUCAGGAGGGCAUGUGGAAAGACUUCAUACUGUUGACAGUAUAUGCAUAACUGCUUUGAAACCAUUCACAGUGCGACGCAUUUUCCGUAGUUGCUGUGUGUUUCCGGUUACAGACACGGGAAGUAAAGAGCAAUAAUAUUGUGGUUGGGCAAUAAGAGUGAACAGUGAAAACUUAAGGAAAAUCCGGUAACAUUGGCAUGGGCACCUUGUUCAUCUGAUAUUAAAUGACGCAGAUAACUAAUUAAACCAUUAUUAGCAAGAAAUUGCCCCAGCUGGAACUGCCCGUUAUUAUUCUGAGUCGAUCCAAUAGAAGUGAUCAUCUUAGAGACCAGACAAAGCUCUGUAAGUUUUGUCCUUUCAUCUGCAGCCAGCCUGUGUAUGUUUGCAUUAAUCUGACUGGAAUGUUACCAGUUAGGCUGUGAGCAUAUACACGGGAACAAGCUUCCGUUGAAACGAGUUCUUAACGAGGUUGUGUGAUGUCCCCUGAUGAGUUCUGUUCUGCCCGUGGUGAACACAGUUUAUUGAAAAAUAGACAGAACAUCACUAACUUCAUAAAGUAAACAUAUUUGGCAUCUUUGGUAUUCAUAUUGUGGAUAAAGAACAGCCAAGCACUCCCUAUGGGCCAGCACCAAUUUCACCUGACAGAACUCUUGUAGGGCUGCCCUUAUUUUUACUUGUAAGAUCUGUUGCAGCCUUCAUCAGAAGAAGAAGAUUUAUGGAAAAUGGUCUCUGGAUGAAAACAGACACGACACUGGUGCAAUAUUCUACAAUAUUUAUUAUUUGUUCCACAAACAGUUUAUUGGCUGUUACACCAUCAUCUGGUACAAAGUUAAGUGUAUGGUGCAGAGAUAUUCUGUUGGGUCAAAGAUUUUAAACCAGUGCAUCUACACUGUAUCUUCAUUUCCAGAUAUGAAAAUGUUUAGCAAUGAAAUAAUAAUAUUUCUGUGUAAAUGUAAUAUAAUCUUUUGUAACUAAGAGAAAAUAUGUGACAAAUCAACAGAUGAAUGAUGUACAAAUUAAAACAGUUGUUUAUGGAAGAAAAUAAGUUUAUUGUUCAA